CCUACGGGAGGCAGCAGUGGGGAAUAUUGGACAAUGGGGGCAACCCUGAUCCAGCCAUGCCGCGUGUGUGAAGAAGGCCCUCGGGUUGUAAAGCACUUUCAGUGAGGAAGAACGCCUGGUGGUUAAUACCCAUCAGGAAAGACAUCACUCACAGAAGAAGCACCGGCUAACUCCGUGCCAGCAGCCGCGGUAAUACGGAGGGUGCGAGCGUUAAUCGGAAUUACUGGGCGUAAAGCGCGCGUAGGUGGCUUGAUAAGCCGGUUGAGAAAGCCCCGGGCUCAACCUGGGAACGGCAUCCGGAACUGUCAAGCUAGAGUGCAGGAGAGGAAGGUAGAAUUCCCGGUGUAGCGGUGAAAUGCGUAGAGAUCGGGAGGAAUACCAGUGGCGAAGGCGGCCUUCUGGACUGACACUGACACUGAGGUGCGAAAGCGUGGGUAGCAAACAGGAUUAGAUACCCUUGUAGUC
rnacentral:rRNA from 1 species